rnacentral:lncRNA from 1 species
UUUACGAAUAUCACAGGUUAUAAUACAGAAAUAUAGUAAAUAAUACCUUUAACUGUUAUUAACUAAGUAGCAAGUAAAAUGUAUUGCAAGUAGAGAAUGUUCAAUGUUUACAUUCAAUGAAAUUGACAUCGGGUGUCACGUGUGCUUUUACAAAUGCUUGACCUUUAACUCUACACUAAAUCGGAGAGUGCUUUGAAAUUUACGUGUAUCUGUGUGUUUGUAUUCAAUACUGGUUUACCUUACAAACGGUAUAUAAUAAAUGUUACAUCUACAUUUAUUAAUAAUGACUUCAUUAAAAUAUAUAAUACGUAUAAUAAUUAACUACAUAAUAUCAUACAACAAUCAUAAAGUUGCAAAUAUAAUAAUCAUAAAGACUUAUGAUGUC